rnacentral:tRNA from 1 species
GGAGAGGUGGCAGAGUUGGUCGAAUGCGUCUGAUUUGAAAUCAGAUGAAUCAAACAGAUUCCGAGGGUUCGAAUCCCUCCCUCUCCG